GCCGGGCGCGGUGGCACAUGUCUGUAGUCCCAGCUAUUCAGGAGGCUGAGGCUGGAGGAUCUCUUGAGUCCAGGAGUUCUGGGCUGUAGUGCGCUAUGCCAAGCGGGUGUCCGCACUAAGUUUGGCAUCAAUAUGGUGACCUCCCGGGAGCGAGGGACCACCAGGUUGCCUAAGGCGGGGUGAAUCGGCCCAGGUCAGAAACGGAGCAGGUCAAAACUCCUGUGUUGAUCAGUAGUGGGAUUGAGCCUGUGAAUAGCCACUGCACUCAAGCCUGGGGAACAUAGCGAGACCCUGUCUCU
rnacentral:SRP_RNA from 1 species